AAAGUUUUUUUUUCCAUACAAAAAAAGAUGACGUCAUAACUCUUCUACUUUUUUUCUUUUGGUGCUACGGGUCAAAUUGAUUCAAAUGGUCUAAAGAUAAAUCGUACCGAUUUUCAUACCUUUAACACCAUUUGCAGCUAAUUCCCGAAUUUCAGGCUGUACCGCUAACACUAGUAGUGAGUGGUAAAUCAUAAAUCAUUUAUUUUUCGUGAUAAACUUAUUUUACAUACAAAAGUAACAAUGAUAAGGUUAGACAUAGGUACAUAAUUACAUAUGGUUUACCAUGAAAUGGGCUCGCCUCAGCAUAAUGCCGACCCGAGAGUCGGCGCUGGUCUUCCGGCGAGUCCAUUUUUGUGGGCCACGAUCACAGCUGUGGUACGUCUGAUGAUGCCAAUUUGACAUAAAAUUCUCAGAGUACGAGCGAUCGAACGAGUACGGUCAUAAUACAUGAUUCGUCUAGCUCAGGUGAAUGUGAUGAUCCGGCCGAUGCAACUUAUAUUCCAGAGGAGGAGAGUACGGAUACUUCGGACAGUUCAACGGGUUCUCCACAUUUUGGAUUCCUAGCGGGCACGUCCGAUCCAGAUGCUCCACGGACUAUACAAGAAGCACUGAGUGGUCCAGACGCUGACAAUUGGAGGGAAGCAAUGUCUUAGACCCACUGGAAAGCAGCCAAAAGAGUCUUGCGCUACUUGAAAGGUACCUUGGAUCUCCGUUUGACUUUUAAGAAAAGCAAGCAGCAGCUGGAUAUCACUGGAUAUGCGGAUGCAGACUGGGGCAGUGACGACGUGGACCGCCGGUCGUACACGGGCUACGUCUUUAAAAUAGAAUCAUAUAUGCUCGAGCAACAGCUGUCAGGUCAAAGAUUAAGUCACAAAGAAAUAUCCCAAUCACGUAAAAGGAACCGGUCACACAGUUCAGACCCACCCCCACCUGCAUCAAGACAGUCGCAUUUACUGGGUCAUGAUUAUUAUAAAAAAAACAAGAGCAGCUUCCAAUCACCUAAAACCUAAAAGAAAAAAGAUAUCUUUU